GACGGAGGGUGCAAGCGUUGUUCGGAAUUACUGGGCGUAAAGCGCGGGCAGGUGGCCUUUUAAGUCCUUUGUGAAAUUCCGGAGCUCAACUCCGGAUGUGCAUAGGAUACUGGAAGGCUAGAGACUGGUAGAGGCGAGCGGAAUUCCUGGUGUAGCGGUGGAAUGCGUAGAUAUCAGGAAGAACACCCGUGGCGAAGGCGGCUCUCUGGGACGGUACUGACGCUGAGACGCGAAAAGCGUGGGGAGCGAACAGGAUA
rnacentral:rRNA from 1 species